AGUGAACGCUGGCGGUAGGCCUAACACAUGCAAGUCGAACGGCAGCACAGUAGGAGCUUGCUCUUACGGGUGGCGAGUGGCGGACGGGUGAGGAAUACAUCGGAAUCUACUUUUUCGUGGGGGAUAACGUAGGGAAACUUACGCUAAUACCGCAUACGACCUACGGGUGAAAGCAGGGGAUCUUCGGACCUUGCGCGAUUGAAUGAGCCGAUGUCGGAUUAGCUAGUUGGCGGGGUAAAGGCCCACCAAGGCGACGAUCCGUAGCUGGUCUGAGAGGAUGAUCAGCAACACUGGAACUGAGACACGGUCCAGACUCCUACGGGAGGCAGCAGUGGGGAAUAUUGGACAAGGGGCGCAAGCCUGAUCCAGCCAUACCGCGUGGGUGAAGAAGGCCUUCGGGUUGUAAAGCCCUUUUGUUGGGAAAGAAAAGCAGCAGGUUAAUACCCCGCUGUUCUGACGGUACCCAAAGAAUAAGCACCGGCUAACUUCGUG
rnacentral:rRNA from 1 species